GGAGAAAUACCCAAGUCCGGCUGAAGGGUCUGGCCUCGAAAACCAGUAGGGCGAGAAGUCGCCGCGGGGGUUCAAAUCCCCCUUUCUCCGCCA
rnacentral:tRNA from 1 species